rnacentral:lncRNA from 1 species
CACUGUGGAAGCUUUGUUCUUUUGCUCUUUGUAAUAAAUCUUGCUACUGCUUACUUUUUGGGUCCACACUGGUUUUAUGAGCUGUAACACUCACCACGAAGGUCUGCAGGUUCACUCCUGAGCCAGCGAGACCACGAGCCCACCGGGAGGAACGAACAACUCCAGACGUGCUGCCUUAAGAGCUGUAACACUCACCGUGAAGGUCUGCAGCUUCACUCCUGAACCAGCGAGGCCACGAACCCACCAGAAGGAAGAAACUCCGAACACAUCUGAACAUCAGAAGGAACAAACUCCAGACGCGCCACCUUAAGAGCUGUAACAUUCACCGCAAGGGUCCGCGGCUUCAUUCUUGAAGUCAGUGAGACCAAAAACCCACCAGUUGCGGACACAGUUGUUGUCACAGCCCGGCCUGCCCCAACCUGCCUCAGAGGAAGCAUCGGAGACACUCCACCAGCUUCUCCCAUGGCUUCCCUCAUCCUGGGGCCAAGGCAGCAUCUGGUACAGAGCUGAGGCAGGGGAGAGAUAUCCUUGGAGCCAACAUCCAUGUGUUUAACCUGGAUCCUCUGUGCCUGAGCAACUCAGGCUUCUUCCAUGUGGCAGGGGCGGGGUGAGGCCACAGACAGCUCCAGCUCACAUCAACCCAGCUAAUGGCUUCACAGGAAAGAGGGAAGCAAAAUCCCAGAGAAGUCUGAUUGGCCCGGCCUGGAUCUCAUGGCUGUGGGCAAUGGAAAAGCUGAGGGAACUGGAGAACAGCUGCUGUCCUCUCCCUGCGCACAUCUGUUCUGCCUCAUGCCAAAGGGAGACAAUGGCUAAAGGGGGCCUGUACUGGUCAGGCCCUGCAGAGAAACAGAACACACAGGUUGUGUAUGCAUGUAUAGGUAGGUAGGGAGACAGAGAGUGGGGAGAGAGAGAGGUUCGAGAAAUUGGCUCAUGUGAUUACAGAGGCUGGCAAGUCCAAAAUUUGCAGGGUGGGUGAUACGGUUUGGCUGUGUCCCCCCACCAAAUCUCAUCUUGAAUUGUAGCUCCUGUAAUUCCCACAUGUCAUGGGAGGGACCCCAUGGGAGGUAAUUGACUCAUGGGGCUGAGUCUUUCCCAUGCUGUUCUCAUGAUAGUGAAUAAGUCUCAGGAGAUCUGAUGGUUUUAUAAAAGGGAGUUCCCUGCCCAAGCUCCCUCUUGCCUGCUGCCAUGGAAGACGUGCCUUUGCUCCUUUGCCUUCCACCGUGAUUGUGAGGCCUCCCCAGCCUCGUGGAACUGUCAGUCCAUUAAACCUCUUUUUCUUUAUAA